rnacentral:rRNA from 1 species
UACGAAGGGGGCUAGCGUUGCUCGGAAUCACUGGGCGUAAAGGGUGCGUAGGCGGGUUUUUAAGUCAGGGGUGAAAUUCUGGAGCUCAACUCCAGAACUGCCUUUGAUACUGAAGAUCUUGAGUCCGGGAGAGGUGAGUGGAACUGCGAGUGUAGAGGUGAAAUUCGUAGAUAUUCGCAAGAACACCAGUGGCGAAGGCGGCUCACUGGCCCGGUACUGACGCUGAGGCACGAAAGCCAGGGGAGCAAACGGG